UGCCGCUUGCGAGGGCGUAUGGUGGAUGCCUUGGCAGACAGUACCGAUGAAGGACGUUUGAGGAUGCGAUAAUCCUAGGGGAGCCUCCAACAUGGCUUUGAUCCUAGGGUCUCCGAAUGGGGGAACCCGCCGGCCGUCAUGGGCCGGCACCGCCUAUGGGCGGGGGGUACGCAGGGAAGUGAAACAUCUCAGUACCUGCAGGAAGGGAUACUCCGUGAGUAGUGGCGAGCGAAAGCGGAUCAGACCAAACCGGUUGCGCGUGAUACCCGUCGGGGGUUGCGUUGCCGGUGUUGUGGGAUCACGUGUCCCGGUUCCGACGGGCCGGGCGGGAGUCAUAAAACGGCUUGCCAGGGGAACAGGCUUGAAGGCCUGGCCGUAGAGGGUGCCAGCCCCGUACCUGGACGUGAGCCGUCUUCCGAUCGUGUUGUCCCAAGUAGCGCGGGCCUCGUGGAAUCCCGCGUGAAUCAGCCCAGACCGUUGGGUAAGUCUAAGCAUACCUGUCUGACCGAUAGCGUACCAGUACCGUGAGGGAAAGGUGAAAAGCACCCCGGGAGGGGAGUGAAACAGUUCCUGAAACCGUGCGCCCACAAACCGUCGGAGCCUCCUUGUGGGGUGACGGCGUGCCUAUCGAAAAAUGAGUCUGCGAGUCAGUGGCGGGUGGCGAGCAUAAGCCGUGUGGCGUAUGCGUAGCGAAAGCGAGUCUUAAAAGGCGUUUUUUAGUCGCUUGUCCUGGACCCGAAGCGGGAUGAUCUAGCCCUGGGCAGGUUGAAGCGCGGGUAAGACCGCGUGGAGGACCGAACCCACUUAGGUUGAAAACUGAGGGGAUGACCUGGGGCUAGGGGUGAAAGGCCAAUCAAAUUCCGUGAUAGCUGGUUCUCUCCGAAAUGCAUUUAGGUGCAGCGUCGCGUGAUUACAUCCGGGGGGUAGAGCUACUGGAUGCUUGCGGGCCCAUACCGGGUACCAACAGCAACCAAACUCCGAAUACCCGUGAUGCGUAUCGCGGCAGUGACCCGGCGGGGGAUAAGCUCCGUCGUGGAGAGGGAGACAGCCCAGAUCGUCGUCUAAGGUCCCCAAGCGUGUGCUAAGUGGGAAAGGAUGUGGAGUCGCAUAGACAGCCAGGAGGUUGGCUCAGAAGCAGCCAUCCUUGAAAGAGUGCGUAACAGCUCACUGGUCUAGUGGUUCCGCGCCGACAAUGUAGCGGGGCUCAAGCACACCACCGAAGACGCGGCAGUACUUCUGUACUGGGUAGGAGAGCGUCCCGUGCGGGGCGAAGCGGCGGCGUGAGCCUGUCGUGGACCGCACGGGAGUGAGAAUGCAGACAUGAGUAGCGAGAGACGGGUGAGGAUCCCGUCCGCUGGAUGACCAAGGGUUCCGGGGCCACGUUCGUCGUCCCCGGGUGAGUCGGGUCCUAAGGCGAGGCCGACAGGCGUAGUCGAAUGGAUGAACGGGUGGAUAUUCCCGUACCGACCAUGGACCGGCAAAACCGAGACGGUGAGUACUAACCUCCGCCUCGUGGUGGUUCCUUCCUUCGGGUUGGUUCCGCCGCGUGGUGUUGGGAGCGUAGCCGUAGUAGGUCAGCGCAGGGGUGACACGGAAUGGGAGCCGGCCGCGGAGGUGGUUUUCCGUGGUCAAGCACGCAGCCAGUCAUGUAGGCAAAUCCGCAUGGCGCGCAUGGCGAGGUGUGAUGAUGGGAGCCGUUAUGGCUCGAUAUCCGGUUGUCCAGGCCGUCGAGAAAAGCCUCGGCGUGAGGGCCAUGGCCGCCCGUACCCCAAACCGACACUGGUGGUCAGGUAGAGAAUACCAAGGCGAUCGAGCGAAUCCUGGUCAAGGAACUCGGCAAAUCACUCCCGUGCCUUCGGUAUAAGGGAGACCCGCUGGGGUGAAGGACCUUGCGUCCGGAGCUUUGGUGGGUGGCACAGACCAGGGGGUAGCGACUGUUUACCAAAAACACAGGUGCAUGCGAAGGCGAAAGCCGCUGUAUAUGCACUGACGCCUGCCCGGUGCCGGAAGGUUAAGAGGAUCCGUCAACUCUUCGGAGCGAAGCGGUGAAUUCAAGCCCCGGUAAACGGCGGUGGUAACUAUAACCAUCCUAAGGUAGCGAAAUUCCUUGUCGGGUAAGUUCCGACCUGCACGAAUGGCGUA
rnacentral:rRNA from 1 species